GACGAACGCUGGCGGCGUGCUUAACACAUGCAAGUCGAACGGAAAGGCCCUGCUUUUGUGGGGUGCUCGAGUGGCGAACGGGUGAGUAACACGUGAGUAACCUGCCCUUGACUUUGGGAUAACUUCAGGAAACUGGGGCUACUACCGGAUAGGAGCUCCUGCUGCAUGGUGGGGGUUGGAACGUUUCGGCGGUUGGGGAUGGACUCGCGGCUUAUCAGCUUGUUGGUGGGGUAGUGGCUUACCAAGGCUUUGACGGGUAGCCGGCCUGGGAGGGUGACCGGGCACAAUGGGACUGCGGUACGGCCCAGAGUCCUACGGGGGGCAACGGGGGGGAAUUUUGCACAGUGGGCCGGAGCCUGAUGCAGCGACGCCGGGGUCGGGAUGACGGCCUGCGGGGUGUAAACCGCUUUCGCCUGUGACGAAGCGUGAGUGACGGUAAUGGGUAAAGAAGCACCGGCUAACUACGUG
rnacentral:rRNA from 1 species